CCCAGAACAAUUGCGGAAUGGAGUAAAUCACUCGAGUCUACUUUCUCUUGACUGGAUUUGGAUCAUAAUGAAGAUGGCUAGUGUUCAUGGAGCAUGCUCACUUAUCACAUGGACUGCAGCAAGGGCAAUGUGGUGAACAGCAUGCUACCCUUCUUACAUUCAUGUGGAUUCUGGGGAUUUGAACUCACAACCUCAUGUCUCUGUGAAAGCACUUUACCCACAGAGCUAUCAUGCUAGCCAUGGUUAAGACAUGCAAGAAAUGUCACCAACAAGAAUAGAGCAUAAGUAUUUUUUCAUCUCUUCAUGAUAACUAGGAUUUAUGCUUAAACUAUUUUAAAUACUAGUUAUUGCCUGUAUGUACUGCUUCAAAUUUGUGAAAUUUAAUCUGACAGAAAAAUAUCUAGCAUGACUCAUUUUCCCUUGCACUGGACAAAGGGUCUGGAACUGAGGCCUGAAUUGUAUCAGAUUGAACAAGAAAUUUGCAAGCAUUGAAGAUGGGUACCUCUUCUAUUGCCAUGGUCCAGACAGUUUCAGAUUUACUACACAUUUUGAAGAGGAGGCAGUGGCCUGUAAAAAGGCUAACUUUCCUCUAGAAAACAGAAAUCUGCCUGACAGAAACAUUUCUCCAGCCUUUCCCAAGCCCUGCUUAUACAGAAAACUUGAUGAAGGAGGAAUCUAUAAGACUUCAAGGAGACACAGUGGAAAGAUAGAAUCAAUAGGAGGCAUCUGUAUUCCUGUCUUGGGAAAUCCAGAGCAAUCAAGACUAAAAACAUGGGAUAGCAGAAGAGGAUUAACUGGAAACUGAGGCCGAGGCCUGAUGCCUGUACUUGAAUCACUGUGCAGUUAUUACAAAAGUCCUGUGGAUUUUUGGAGCUCUGGACAUGUUUGGACUGAAAAAUGACCUUCUACGGACAUCCAGGGAGGCCUGCCCUGCUGUGAGAAGAAUUUCAAAAGGAGCUCGGUUACGAAUUUCAUGUAGAUCACAGUUGCCAAUGAAAACUGCAUAAUGGAGUGGGCUACAAUCCGCCCCAGGUGACAGUCUGGGUCCAGCAAGUGCCUGAACACAGCAGAGUUAGCUGAACCUUCACCUGGCGAUGGAUGGAGAUAAAGACAAAGCCCCGCAUUGGAGCACCGG